CUGCCAUAGACCAAGGGGCAUCCUGCUCCUGGUCACAGCCUGUAGAUGAAGGGGUGAGGAGGAAAUGAAAUGCUGGCUCACUCCUGGCUGCAAGUCCAAACUCCAAGAGGAGCAGACAUUCGACUAGAGAAUGCCAUGAGAGCAGAUUAUCACCAGAAAGGUUAAUUCCCCUCAUUUUCUGUGGGUAGCAUGUGAACUUCAGCUAGGAAGUUAUGGGAAUUUUAUCAGAAAUCAGUUGAGGAACACAAAGUGAUAUCCAGUGACAGAUCCCUCCCACAGCAUCAGCUCUGUGCUGUGCUCAGACCUUUUCUUCCCUGGCUGCUUUACCCAUUGUCAGCUUCAUGUCAUAUGCUGGCAAUCAAGGGAUAAAAAGGAGCACAAACUGCUCCCAUUCACUGCUAAUUAACUCUGCAGACAUCACAAACCAAGACAUUUGCUCAUAGUCUUAAAUGGUUCUCUUUCCAAGAACUCCCUGAAUUAGUUUUACUAAGUAUCUCUGUGGCUUGGUUGUCUAACUGGCCAAAACCCUCAAAUUAAUUCGUUGCUGAUGGCUGCAGAAGUGACAGGCAACAGAGAGGUAUGUACAGAUUGCAGAUAACAUUCAUAUUCCAAAGCUAAUUUUGGGAGAAAUUUUACUCCUGGAAGCAGCCAAGGCCUAAACUCACAUUUUCUAACAAAUUGCCAACUUGGGAGUUUUCCUGGAAAUAUUAUUUGCCCAUAUGGCUCCACUUUGAGAUCCUUCCCCUGCCUUUGGUCACUGUGUGUGCCCUUUUCCUCUUUUCUCUCCUUCCCUCCCUCCUUCCUAGCUCCCACUUAGCUCAGCCCUAUGACAACCCUGGAUGGAGAAGAACAAGAGGUGCCCAGCAGAAGAGAGGUGAUCCAGCUUGUUCAUAGAAAAAAGUGGAGUAAAUGUUAGAACAACGUCCAGCACCUGGACUCUCUACCAAUCAAUCACCAAGCUGGGGGCCUUGGAUCAUGCUAGAGGGUCACAGAGACCUGAUGAAGACCUUCCUGACUUCAUCCUUUGAGGACCACUGACCCAAUUUGAGACCACUGACCCAAAUCAAGAGAAGAAUUGCGCAUGAGUGAAGGACUAAUGGCCUCAUUUUAAUACUGAAUGGAAAUGGGAGGUGCUGGGGUUAUGCAUAUGUAUUGUAUGUAAGAUUCUGGGAGAUAAAUAGAGGGAAGAGAACCUUGUUUGAGGUGGUCACACCUUUUGGGGAUGAUCCCCAUGCCACCCACCAGUGAAUAAACAUACUGCUUUCUAACUUUAA